rnacentral:rRNA from 1 species
UACGUAGGGUGCGAGCGUUAAUCGGAAUUACUGGGCGUAAAGCGUGCGCAGGCGGUUUUGUAAGCCAGAUGUGAAAUCCCCGGGCUUAACCUGGGAAUGGCAUUUGGGACUGCAAGGCUUUGAGUGCGGCAGAGGAGACUGGAAAUUCCUGGUGUAGCAGUGAAAUGCGUAGAUAUCAGGAGGAACACCGAUGGCGAAGGCAGGUCUCUGGGCUGACAC